rnacentral:tRNA from 1 species
GCCGCUGUAGCUCAGUUGGUAGAGCGGCGCUUUCGUAAAGCGUAGGUCACCGGUUCAAGUCCGGUCAGCGGCUCCA